ACGAGUUAAAAAAAUCGUUAACUUGCCCAGCCUUGCAAAAUGAUUUGUAAUAUUAUAUUAUAUUACAAUAAUAAUAUUCAAUAAUAUUUUGUUUUCGGAAUGGCGACGUUGUAUUUAAAUUCAUUCGGAAUCGUGUAUGUACUUUUGAAAUUUGCGGAAUUGUAUAUUAUGUAUUUCAAUGGUUAUUAAAAUCAACACGAUUCUGCAAAUUUUCGGAAUCGUGUUAUAGCUACAGUAACGCUCUCCGUGUCACACAAAAUUAUAGAAUGACCCCCAGCCAUAAGACUUAUACAUGUCAAAAAGGAGAAGAUGGUUAAGUAUUUCAAAAAAAUUAAAAUGUUGAUGUAGAUAUAUUGUGUAUUUAUAAACUAUUUUAGCCAUUGAGAAAGUAUCUCUGAUAAGUAAGAUUCAGUGACCCAUGAAUGAAUCUUUAGAGAUUAUAUAACUAUUAAAUUAUUACAUUUUUUAUGGUACCUUCUAAAAAUGUGUAUUAUAUUAUUUUGUUUGAAUAAUUUUAAAAUAUAAUAGAUAUUCUGAUUGAAUAUGCUAAAUUUCAAAAUAAUAAACAUGCUAACAUAAAAAACGUGGAAUUUGAAGCUAACCUAGAUAAAAAAAAUUGCAAAUUAGUAUAAAACUAACCAUGCACAAAAAUCUAUUUCUAUUUUUUAUUUAGCAACAACACGGAUUUAUUUACACUAUAAGAUCAAGGGUAUGUAUAAUUUGUAUAUUUUAUGUGUUUUAUCAUUUUUUUACUUUCCCUUCUCUUGGAAUUUCCAUAUGACCAAUGGGAACAUACUUCCAAAUUCAUUUUUGUAUUCCACAAAUAUAUGGAAAUAUAGUGUACAAAGUAAUGCGAGUUCUAUCCAAAUCAAAAGAACAAAAUAUAAUACCACGAAAAAUAUAUGUUAUGUUAAGUUCACGAUUUAAUAAUGGCAUAUAAAUAUCAAGAUUUGUGUAUCAUAAUAUAUAUUAUAAUUUAUGACAUGUAAUAUUAUGAGCAUAUUUUACUGUAAAUGAUUAUCAUCAGACACGUUACAUAACAUUUACUUAAUUUUUUAAAUUUCUGUCAGCCAAGAUUUACCUUAACAGGUAACGUCACAGCAGAUUAUCAGAAACGCCUUUACCUAUCUAGGAGUUAAAAUAACUAUAAUUCAUAAACUGAAAUUUAUGGUAAAAUAUCAAGAAAAAGUACUAGCAUUAAAUGCAGAUACCGAGAAAACAAUUUAGUCAAAAUACCCAGUAAGCUAUUGAUGUCUAUAAUACCACUUAUAUUGUCUGUAUAUAUUAUUACAUUUUUAACUCUUUAUUAUUGUAUGAAUUAAUGUAAUUAUAAUAGGCGGUACUAUUAAUAUAUUGUUAUCAAUGGACAAUGGCAAUGACAUUAUAUUGUUAUUGCAUAAGUUUUUAAUAGUUAACUAGGUAGAACAGAAAUAUUAUGUGAUAUUGCUACUACUUACUAGCUGACGUGGAAAUGCGUUGCUAUUGAUAGAUUUUUGAAAUUAUGAGAGUUGUAUAAUAUCAGUUAGGCAAUCUACCGGCGGUAGAUCACGGACUCUGCGUGGUGCAAGUGCAUAAUUUAACUCUAAAGUAUCAAAAAAUACAAACAAUUUGUCCACCGAAACCGUAGUUCAAAAUCGAUACAUUCUGUACUAAAAUAAAUAGGAUUAGCGCAUUAAUAAUAAUAAUAAUUUUUAUUAAAAUCAAUGGGUCAAUAUGAAUGUGAUCAUUCACAAUACACCAAUACAAACAAUUAUAAACAAAAAAUAAUAAUUUUAAUAAUAUUCUCAAAAUCCCUGUUUGAGAACUGCCCAAGGUUGGACCUCUUAUUUACCAUUUUUCGUGAAAAAUGUUCUUCCCCAAAGUAUAUUCUAUCUCUGCACCAAAUUUCAUUUUCGUUUAAGUAAAGGACACAGAUUAGUCGAGUACACAAAUGUUUGUCUUUUAUAAUAAAAUAUCUGAUCCCACGCACUUCGUUUCCCGACAACCAAUAAUUAUUAUUAUUAUAGCUUGAAAACCCAUGGUAACCAUUCAUAAACAAAAUUGUCCAUCGGAAAUCUCAAAAUCCCCGUUUGAGCUCCACCCGGGGUUGGUCCUAUCAUUUUUGAAAAUAGCUUAUCUUCAAUCUAAUAUAUCUAUGUACCAAAUGAUCCCGUUCACUUCGUUGCCUGCAACCAAUAAUUAUUAUUAAAAUAGCUUCAAAACCCCAUAGGUUAACCAUGACAACUCAGGCAGAUAAACAUUCAUUUCUCUCCCAGAGUUGGUUGCCAUGGUAAUGUGGACACACAAAUAGACACACAGAUACAUUCAUUUUAGACUCUGAGCAGAACAAUGUUGUUUAAUUUUUUUUUUCUUUUGUCCCGUGUACAAAAUUUCUACCAUAAGCAGUUCUUCAAUUUGAACAUGUAUUGUACCAUAUCUUUUUGAAAAUUGGAUCAAGAUGAUAUUUUAGAGAGGUCAUUUUUCGAUUUUCUCAAUAGUUAUUUAAUGCCACCGGAAAAACCACCGAAAAAUUACGAAA
rnacentral:lncRNA from 1 species